CAAAAACUUGGUCCUGAUUUUACUGUCAGCUCUGGCCAAACUUACACAUGCAAGUAUCCGCACCCCCGUGAGAAUGCCCCACAAUCCUCCGCCCGAGGACUAGGAGCUGGUAUCAGGCACCCCCCCCCCGCCCACGACACCUUGCUUAGCCACACCCCCAAGGGAACUCAGCAGUGAUAGACAUUAAGCCAUAAGUGAAAACUUGACUUAGUCAAAGCCAAACAGGGCCGGUAAAACUCGUGCCAGCCACCGCGGUUAUACGAGAGGCCCAAGUUGACAGAUGCCGGCGUAAAACGUGGCUAGACUGAACCCCAACUAAAGCCAAACACCUUCAAAGCUGUGAUACGCAAACGAAGGCAGGAAAUACUACCACGAAAGUGGCUUUAUCCAAUUUGAACCCACGAAAGCUAGGGAACAAACUGGGAUUAGACACCCCACUAUGCCUAGCCCUAAACAUUGAUAGCACCUUACAUCCGCUAUCCGCCCGGGAACUACGAGCAACAGCUUAAAACCCAAAGGACUUGGCGGUGCUUUAGACCCCCCUAGAGGAGCCUGUUCUAGAACCGAUAACCCCCGUUCAACCUCACCUCUCCUUGUUUAACCCGCCUAUAUACCGCCGUCGUCAGCUUACCCUGUGAAGGUCCAAUAGUAAGCAAGCUUGGUAAAACCUAAAACGUCAGGUCGAGGUGUAGCGUAUGCAGAGGGAAGAAAUGGGCUACAUUCACUACUACAGUGAACACGAAUGGUGUGCUGAAACGCACCCCUGAAGGAGGAUUUAGCAGUAAACAGGAAAUAGAGCGUCCCGCUGAAACUGGCCCUGAAGCGCGCACACACCGCCCGUCACUCUCCCCAAAAACCCCUCCCCAACAAUUUAACUUAAAACCCAACACCCACUAAAGGGGAGGCAAGUCGUAACAUGGUAAGUGUACCGGAAGGUGCGCUUGGUCAAUC
rnacentral:ncRNA from 1 species